rnacentral:lncRNA from 1 species
UUGUAGCCGUAAGCCCUGCUUCCCAGGCACAUUUAGUGUAUUUAAGUUUUUAGUUAAUCUAUGUCAUUAAGUCCUUGGGUAGCCCAAGAGUUGUGCGGGUACCCAGGCAGCUAUUCUGUCUAGUUAAAGCUCUUGUGAGCUGUAUGUAAUCAAUGCUAUGUCUGCCUUUCCCUAUAUAUAUUGAAGGAGAUGCCUGGGGUCAGUUGUCUCAAGGCUAAUCAUUUUCUCUGUUACCUCCAACAUUUGGUA